AACCUGGUUGAUCCUGCCAGUAGUCAUAUGCUUGUCUCAAAGACUAAGCCAUGCACGUCUAAGUACAAACUAAAUGAUGGUGAAACUGCAAAUGGCUCAUUACAACGGUUAUGAUGUACCCGGGAGUUCCGAUGGAUAUUUCCAGUAACACUAGAACUAAUACAUGCUCCUGCGUUUAUUAGUUUCGCACAGUCCGUCGCUGAGUCAUGGUAAACAGUUGAUCGACUCGACGUCCCGGAACAGUUUCCGCCCCAUCAGCUUCGAUGGUUGGGUAUUGGCCUACCAUUGCAACAACGGGUAACGAGGAAUUAGGGUUUGAUUUCGGAGAGGGAGCCUGAGAAACGGCUACCACAUCUACGGAUGGCAGCAGGCGCGCAAAUUACCCAAUGCAGACACUGUGAGGUAGUGACGAGAAAUAAUAAAGCGGGACUUCUGUUUCGCUAUUAUAAUGAGGAAUAACCAAAGGUCAUUCCGAUUAGCAACUGAUGGGAAAGUCUGGUGCCAGCAGCCGCGGUAAUACCAGCGUCAGUAGCAUAUAUUAAAAUUGUUGCAGUUAAAACGUCCGUAGUCUGUACGUCGUCCCAAACUCACUGCA
rnacentral:rRNA from 1 species